rnacentral:rRNA from 1 species
GGAGAAGCUUGCUUCUCGCUGACGAGCGGCGGACGGGUGAGUAAUACUUAGGAAUCUACCUAGUAGUGGGGGAUAGCUCGGGGAAACUCGAAUUAAUACCGCAUACGACCUACGGGAGAAAGGGGGCAACUUGUUGCUCUCGCUAUUAGAUGAGCCUAAGUCGGAUUAGCUAGAUGGUGGGGUAAAGGCCUACCAUGGCGACGAUCUGUAGCUGGUCUGAGAGGAUGAUCAGCCACACCGGGACUGAGACACGGCCCGGACUCCUACGGGAGGCAGCAGUGGGGAAUAUUGGACAAUGGGGGCAACCCUGAUCCAGCCAUGCCGCGUGUGUGAAGAAGGCCUUUUGGUUGUAAAGCACUUUAAGCAGUGAAGAAGACUCCAUGGUUAAUACCCAUGGACGAUGACAUUAGCUGCAGAAUAAGCACCGGCUAACUCUGUGCCAGCAGCCGCGGUAAUACAGAGGGUGCAAGCGUUAAUCGGAAUUACUGGGCGUAAAGCGAGCGUAGGUGGCUUGAUAAGUCAGAUGUGAAAGCCCCGGGCUUAACCUGGGAACGGCAUCUGAUACUGUUAGGCUAGAGUAGGUGAGAGGAAGGUAGAAUUCCAGGUGUAGCGGUGAAAUGCGUAGAGAUCUGGAGGAAUACCGAUGGCGAAGGCAGCCUUCUGGCAUCAUACUGACACUGAGGUUCGAAAGCGUGGGUAGCAAACAGGAUUAGAUACCCUGGUAGUCCACGCCGUAAACGAUGUCUACUAGUCGUUGGGUCCCUUGAGGACUUAGUGACGCAGCUAACGCAAUAAGUAGACCGCCUGGGG